CAAAGAAAAACUAAGGGAGGCCGAAACUGCUUGUGAUCUAGUUGAAAAAAAUAAGCAGUUAAAAGCCCAACUUAGAAGCUGUGAAAGUAACCAUUCAGUUGUUACAUAUGUAAAAUAUUUUAAAGAAAAUGAAGAGUUGCUUAAAGAGGUUAAAAGACUUAAAGAAGACUUAGCCAAGUUCACUCAAAGUUCUGAAAAUCUGAAUCAAAUCUUGGCUAGUCAAAAACCUCUUUAUGAUAAAGCUGGCUUGGGGUUCUAUAAAUCUGUUGAGAAACCUCAUUUUGAAAACUUUGUCUCAUCUUCAAAUGAUACAAGAUUUUAAAACCCAAAAAGCUUUAACAAAACAGCAACUCCAAGGUUUUGUAGACUAUGUAACAGAAAUGGACACUUUCCCAUUCAAUGUUUUUUUGGUGAUAGGAUGAUUGGUGAUAAAAUUUACAAAGUUAUUUUUUAUUAUAAUGGCUUAGGACAUAAGAGAUGGUUUAACGUGAAAGGAUCCAAGAAAAUUUGGAUACCUAAGGUCACUUGAGCUUGUUUUGUAGGUAUGCCUAGCAUCCAAACGGAAGGAGAAUAUGUGGUAUAUGGACAGCGGAUGUUCUAGGCAUAUGACCGAAAAGACAACCUUCUUCAUAAAGCUUGAUGAGUAUGAUGGAGGAUUUGUCACUUUUGGUGAUGAUGCUAAAGGAAAGAUAGUGGCUGUUGGAAAAUUUGGUAAAAGCUUUUCAUCUUGUAUAAAUGAUGUUCUUCUUGUAAAUGGUUUGAAACAUAAUUUACUUAGUGUAAGCUAAUUGUGUGAUCUAGGUUUUAAAGUUAUCUUUAGAAAGUUUGUGUGUUUGGUUGUGUGUGAAAAAUCUGGGGAUAUUUUAUUAGAGGCUAAAAGGUGCAAUAAUGUGUAUGGAUUGACUCUUGAAGACUUGAAAGAACAAAAUGUAACAUAUUUUACUUCUCUUGAAUCUGAAAAAUGGCUAUGGCAUAGAAAGUUGGGUCAUGCUAGCAUGUACCAAAUUUCUAAGCUAGUUAAGAAAAAUUUGGUUAGAGGAAUUCCAAAUAUCAAAUUUGAUAAAGAUCUUACUUGUGAUGCUUGCCAAUUAGGCAAACAAGUAAAAUUCUCUUUUAAACCAAAAGAUAGAAUCUCAACUAAAAGGCCAUUAGAGAUGUUACACAUUGAUCUUUUUAGUCCAAAAAGAACCCAAAGUUUAUGAGGUAAACACUAUAGUCUUGUGGUGGUAGAUGAUUACUCUAGAUUUGGUUGGGUACUUUUUCUUGCUCAUAAAAAUGAUGCUUUUCAUGGUUUCUCAACCCUUUGCAAGAAAAUUCAAAAUGAAAAGGAUUUAAAAAUUGCCCAUUUGAGAAGUGAUCACGGAAGAGAAUUUGAAAACCAAGACUUUGAAAAAUUCUGUGAUGACUUUGGAAUUGCUCAUAACUUUUCAUGCUCUAGAACCCCUCAACAAAAUGGGGUGGUUGAAAGAAGGAAUAGAAGUCUUCAAGAGAUGAUUAGGGCCAUGCUUUGUGAGAAUGAGAUUCCUAAAUUUUUAUGGGCUGAAGCUGUAAAUAUAGCUUGUUACAUUUUGAAUAGGACAAUUAUUAGAAAAGGGUUGAAGAAAACCCCCUAUGAGCUAUAGAAAGGAACCCCUCCAAAUCUUAAGUAUUUUCAUGUUUUUGGAUGCAAAUGCUUUGUACUUAACAAUAAAGAAAAUUUUGGCAAAUUUGAUCCAAAAUCCUAUGAAGGGAUGUUUGUUGGAUACUCCACCACUAGCAAGGCCUAUAGGAUUUAUCUCAAAGAACAUAGGACUAUAGAGGAAUCCAUACAUGUUACUUUUUGUGAUUCUAACUCAAUUCCCAGUGCUGUGAUAGAAGAUAAUACAGAUUGUGAAGAAGUUGUCAAUAAAGGAACCAGUGAAAAAAAUUCCAAAUCCGCUCAAAAUGAAGAAUCUGCCAGUCUAGUUUUGUCUCGUCAGAUUGGAGGAGACAUUUCCAUUUUGUCUCCUGAGCCAGCACGAGAAACUGAAACAGUGGGACCACCAGAAACUCAUCAAAGCUCAACACCAAUCCAGAAGCCUAGAGAAUGGAAGUCAAUGAGGGGUUAUCCUCAUGACUUCAUCAUUGGUGAUCCCUCUCAAGGUGUUACAACAAGAUCCUCAACCAAAAGACAAUCCGAACCAAGAAACUUUGCUCUCUUGUCACAAAUGGAACCCAACAAUUUAAAACAAGCUCUUGAAGAUCCAUCAUGGGUCAAAGAAAUGCAAGAAGAGCUUGCUCAAUUCGACAAGAAUGAGGUUUGGACACUAGUACCUCAUCCGGAUGGUAAAAAAAUGACGGGUACUAAGUUGGUCUUUAAAAAUAAACUUGGUGAGGAUGGACAAGUUGUUCGUAACAAGGCUAGAUUAGUGGCCCAAGGUUACGAUCAAGAAGAGGGUAUAGAUUUUGAUGAGUCUUUUGCACCNNNNNNNNNNNNNNNNNNNNNNNNNNNNNNNNNNNNNNNNNNNNNNNNNNNNNNNNNNNNNNNNNNNNNNNNNNNNNNNNNNNNNNNNNNNNNNNNNNNNNNNNNNNNNNNNNNNNNNNNNNNNNNNNNNNNNNNNNNNNNNNNNNNNNNNNNNNNNNNNNNNNNNNNNNNNNNNNNNNNNNNNNNNNNNNNNNNNNNNNNNNNNNNNNNNNNNNNNNNNNNNNNNNNNNNNNNNNNNNNNNNNNNNNNNNNNNNNNNNNNNNNNNNNNNNNNNNNNNNNNNNCCCAUAAGGGUUUCAAAAUGUUUCAAAUGGAUGUUAAAUGUGCUUUUCUUAAUGGCUUUAUUGAUAGAGAAGUGUAUGUGGCUCAACCCCCCGGCUUUGAACAGAAAGAUUUUCCAAAUCAUGUUUUUAAAAUCUCAAAGGCCCUUUAUGGCCUUAAGCAAGCUCCAAGAGUUUGGUAUGAAAGGCUUAGUGCCUUCCUAUUGGAAAUCACUUUCAAAGGGGAACCAUCAACACAACUUUAUUCAUUAAAGAAUCUAAUAAUGAUAUUCUCCUAGUUCAAGUUUAUGUGGAUGACAUUGUAUUUGGUUCGGCUAAUGAGUCCUUGUGUGAAGAGUUUGGAAAACUCAUGACUAGUGAAUUUGAGAUGAGUUUAAUGGGAGAGCUAACUUUCUUUCUUGGCCUCCAAAUUAAACAAACUCCUAGUGGUACCUUUAUUCACCAAGGAAAGUAUGCAAAAGAACUUAUCAAAAUGUUUGGCCUAGAAAGUUCCAAACCAAUGGGUACACCAAUGCAUCCAAACACAAAACUUGAAAAGGAUGAUGAUGGCAAAGAUGUGGAUGAAACAAGGUAUAGAGGAAUGAUAGGUUCACUCAUGUACCUUACCUCUUUUAGACCAGACAUUAUUCAAAGUGUAGGUGUAUGUUCAAGGUUUCAAUCUCACCCAAAAGAAUUCCAUCUUUCAGCCGUUAAGCGCAUCAUUAGAUACAUUAAGGGAACUAGUGAUUAUGGCUUGUGGUAUCCUAAAUCUGAUGAUUUUUGUGCAGUAGGGUUUUGUGAUGUAGAUUAUGCGGGAGAUAGAGUGGAUAGACGGAGUACAUCCGGCAUGUGUUGCUUCCUUGGAAGCUCACUCAACAUGUGGUCAAGCAAAAAGCAAGCCACAGUGGCUCUAUCCAUAGCUGAAGCUGAAUAUAUUUCUGCAUCUGCAUGUUGUUCACAAUUAAUUUGGUUAAAAACGCAGUUGGAAGAUUACAAAUUAAAGAUUAAUAGUAUACCCUUAUUUUGUGAUAAUAUGAGUACUAUUAACAUCUCAAAAAAUCCUAUUUUGCAUUCAAGAACCAAGCACAUUGAAAUUAAAUAUCAUUUCAUUAGAGAACAUGUGCAAAAAGGUACUAUUGAUAUUCAAUUUGUAAAAUCUGAAGACCAACUUGCUGACAUUUUUACAAAACCCCUCUGUGAAGACAGAUUAUGCACUUUGAGAAAAAGUUUGGGAAUGAUUGAUUUAAGUUCUAUUGAUAACUUGUAAAAUUUUGAUUCUGCUCAGUUUUGUCUCGUAGGAAAGGAGGAGAUAAAAAUCAGAGUGUGUUGGAAGGGCUGUGAUCAACAGGGAGACUGCGCUGAAAUUAAUUUUAAUGGGCCCCACCAAAUUUUUUUGACCCCACUCUGACCGUUUUGUUAGUUUCUCUUUGUGUAAAUCACAAUCUCCUUUUAUUGUCUCAUUAAAUCUUGUUGGAAGAGGAUGUUGUCAAAUCAAAUCUUUUUCUUCAUCUAAUCCCUUGAUUCUAGGAAACCACUUUUCAGUUUAUUUCAAAUAAAAGAGAAACUCCUUUGGGUAUUAACCGCUCCUUAAUGGUCAUUAAACUCCCUCCAAUUCUCUCUCCACUCCACAUUUAAUGCUUCCCUAACCUCCCUCCUCCCUUACUCAAUUCGGUUUCUAUUCAACCCCCCAUCUUCCACUUCUCCAUUUUCAUUACCAUGAAAAAGAAAACCGCCCCUAGAAAAAGUGAAAGGAUUCUAUUUUCUCAAAAACUGUCCACACCACAAUCUCACACCCACAUCCAUAUACAUUCUACAUCCUCAUCUUCUCCCUUACCACCCUCAAAACAGACAGACACCAUGCGAAGGAAAGUCAUAGCCAUUAAAACCUCUUCAAGGAAGAAAAAAGAGAAAGUUCCUGUGGAGGAAGAGGAAGAAUCACACACCUCACCGAUUCCAUCACCACCACCAUCUCCACCGAAGAAAGACACACCCGGAAGGAGUGCUCAGAAAACAAAAGGGUUUGCGCUGCACAACACCAAGGAACCAGCAAACCUGGAGUCCUUGGAUUUUAAGAACAAAUUCAGUAAACCACACUCUCACUAUGAUCCUGCCAGGUUCAACUCCUGUGCUUCAUAUGAAUUCCACAAAGAGGUUCUGGAAAAACGUCAUCUCUGUGCAACCUAUCUAGUCAAUCUUGACUCUCUCACCAACAAAGGGAUAAAUGUUUCUUCUCUUUUUGAACUUCUUCAAUGGACUCCACUGCUCCACAUCCAGAAAUCGGUUUACCCCGGUUUGGUUCGUGAAUUCUAUGCCAACAUGCGACUGAUUGAUGGCAUUAUCCACUCAUAUGUGAAGAGGGUUCACAUAACUCUUGACACUGGAACUAUUGGGACGGCUCUAUGCUACAAAGAGGAAGGGCCGAGAGCAUAUAUGGCCGAGAAGUGGGACUCACAGGUCGGCGUCACCUAUAAGAUUGUUCUUCAACACAUUUGUGAAAAUCUCUCUGGCUUGGAUGGGACUACUCCUACCCACAAAGCUCUCAGUCCCACCAACUCUCUGCUUUACAGGAUUAUCACCCACAUCCUGACCCCUCAAAGCGGCUCCCAUAAUAGAGUAACAUUCUCUAACUCUCUCAUCAUUUUUGCUCUUGUUACAUCAACUCCUAUAUCAUUUGGUUACCUUAUGAUUAGACAUAUGUGGGAAUCAGUUAAAAGCACCAAAAAGGCGAAUCUGCCCUAUGGAAUAUUUUUAACAAGUAUUUUUGAAUAUUUUAAAAUUGAUCUCCUAAAUGAGGCUGUAGAAAACAAGGUAUCUAUGAUUAAAGGAGGAGGAGCUGUUAAAGGAACCAAAGGAAAGAAAUAUGUGGCUUCGGAUAGUGAAUAUGAAAGUUGGCCUGAGUCUUCCAAGGCAACCAAAUCUAUCAAAGAAAUUCUUACAGAAUUUUCAAACAUGUCGGAGCUCAUGGUACAAUCCCAUAAGGCGGCACGCAAGCUAGCCUAUGAAAAUGAAAAGGCUUGGAUGAGAUGCAAGGACAGGGUAAGUCUGAUGCUGGAGAGCCUUGAGGAGGAGUUGGGAGUUGCAAGUGAAGAAGGGGCUGAGGAAUUUGAGCUUCAUUUAUCUGAUGAUUAAUCUUUUUUUAGUAUUUGAUAUUGGCAUGUUUAGCCUCAAUUUGAUACUCUAUUUUUGUCUGUUUGGAUACUGUUGAACCUAUGACUUGGUGAUAUAUUUUUAACAUUUUGGGUAUAUUGGAUAUUUUGUUCUCUAUGUCAUUUUUUUUUGCAGGUGCCCCUUGAUGCCAAAAGGAAGAGAGAAAUGGUGCUGGAAAAUUGAAAUUACCAAAACAGGGAUGAAAUCCUUUUGAGGAUUCAUGAUCUCCCUUAUUUAUUGUUAAAAUAUCUUGGUGUGAUGAUAUGAUUGAUGUUAAUAAUGCAUUUGUUCUAUCUUGGUAAAUAUGAUUGAUGCUGAUUGAUGUUUGUGAUUUAGUUGGUUUACCAUGAAAAAAUAUUUACUGUGUCUAUGAUGCAGUUACUGUGUUUGUGAUGCAUUUGAUCUAUUUAUGUUAUCUUGAUAAAAUGAUUGCUGUUUUGGAUUUAUUUUUUGCAGUUCCUUUAAGCUGUGAUGUAAACAUGAAGUUUGAUAGUUGCUAUGGUUUGAGAUGAUCAUGCCUGACUAGAAAUAUUUUGCUAAAAUUAAUUUGCUCUGAUUUGCUUAUUGGAAAAUAUUUUCAAAAGGGCUUGAAAAGCUGCUUCAGGAAACAUCAAUUUUAUUGGAACCAAAAUUGUUUUUAUGUGUUUGAGCAGAAAAUCAAAUUAUUGAUAACAAAUGAGUUUUGAUUAUCACUCAAUUCUGCUCAUAAAUCAAGCCAUUCAACAUUACAUAAUGAAUAUGUUGAAUAACAUUGUUUCCUUAGGCUUGAUAAAAACUGUUACAGGUAUAAAGCUUCCAUUGGUAAAAUAGCAUAUAUUAAGGGGGAGCCAUGUGACAAUUAGAAAGGGGGAGAAAUUCAAAUAUUCAAAGGGAGUAUUCUAUACUUUAAUUUUUAAUUUCUUUCCAUUUCAAUUUUAAUAAUGUUUGUCAUCAAGGGGGAGAUUGAUGAGUUUGGAAAACUCUAAAUUAAUCUUUAUGAUGACUAAACAUUAUUAAUAUAAUUAUUUACAAAAUUAUUAAUUUGAUCUUAAUUCACACUUAUUUACCGAAAAUAAAAGAAAAUGUUACAAGCCCAUAUAUGCAUCUUACCUUCAGCCUUGAUGUUAAAUAUGAUUAUGUUGGCUGAAUUGUUUUAUUGGGCCAGUUUGAUCUAUUACUGCAAGCCCAAUGUGCUUUUUAAGCAUUUAGCUUGGUUCAAAGUGUGUUAUAUUAAGUAGCUGAAGCAAUUUGUGAUUAAUUGGGCCAGAUUGAAUUUUGUUGUUACAAGCCCAAAAUUAAAAUUGCUUGAAGGCAAGCAUGCUUGGUCUGAAACUAUUAAGCAAAGAAAGCAAAGCUUCAUUACUUCCAACGGAUCUCCUUUUUAAUCAUGUGAUGGAACUCAAAAUUUUAUUGAGAAGAGUUAAUGCAGUUCUUGAAACUAUGAGAGAAAAAUCAUGAUUGAUUAGAUGGUUGGCCUUAAUGAAGGCACGCUACCUAAAGCAAAGGGAAGUAAAAGCAACUCAUUUUAUUUAAUUUAUUCAAACACAUUUAAUUGUUUUUCUUCCUACUCUCUCUUCCCUUUCUACUUGCUUCUCAUCUUCGGUCAUUACACAGCAAACUAUGGAAGCUACAACUAGCCACCGAAGAGAAGGAGAUGCACGCUACAAGACCAUCAAAAUGAUGGCAAGAAAAAGCAUACUAAAAGUAUGCUGUGGCUAAGAUUCUCAUUCACUUGUGGUAAGAUUUUGUGAAGAGAUCUUGACUUCUCUAUACCAAAAAUGGUUGAAGAAGAUUUCGGUCAGAGAAGAAGAAUCUUGGAGGGAUGGCUUGUCUCUAAUUCUGCUCAACCACCACAGGAGGUAGCUACAGUGGUUACGUGAUGGAGGUGGCAGAGAUUGGAGUAGAUGAAGCUAUCAUCAUCAUGAAGCAUCAAGGGCUAGGAGUUCAUCUUGGAGAGCAAGACAAGGAUGAAGGGCUCGGAUUGAUGAAGAGUGGUGACCAAGGAAGGACUAGAGGCAAUUGCAUGUUGGGUUUUGCAUGAGUUAUCUCUUCUCUCUCUCUGGCCGAACCGGUUCUAGUUGAAGAAGAAGAAGAUUGGCUUAGUUUGUUUGGUUUCAACCUUGGAGGCUUCUCCCUAUAAGUAAGGGUGAACAGUCAGGGAUUGAUUCAAGGAGUGAGAGUGCAAAGCACAGGGUUCUCAGAACUACCCAAGCUAACAAAAAUUCUUCUCCUUCAAUGUUUUUCAUUUUAUAUUUUUCUGUUUAAUUUUGUCAUGUCUUGAGUCUCAUGGAAAAAGGCAAACAGUGAAGUUUGUAAUGAAAAAGCUAUAGAGCGAAAAAAGGUAGAAAGUGCAAAAUUAAAAGAAAAAGUCAUAGAUAUCCUUAGAGGUCCUUUGUACAUCUGUGUUGUGUUUCAUGAUUCUGUGGGAAUCCCCUUGCAAGUUGGGUUAGCACUUAGUAGUUGAAAGCUUGGCUGUGACCAAGUCAAGUUCAGGAUUGGGUUUAGUUUCUGAACUUGUCUCGGAUAGGAAGAGCAGUUCCUAGGAAGAAUUGGUGUAUGUAAUCAAGAAUGAUUAUAGUAAAAUUCCAUCAUUGUUGUGAUGGAGACUGGAUGUAGGCUGCCUUGCACUUAGCAGCUGAACCAGGAUAUAUCUUGGUGUAAUUCUCUUUCUCUUCUACUCCAUUUCUGUUUCUGCUGCCCAGGAGAUAAAACUGAAAAUAUCUCGUGCUGAUCGACGAGACAAAAAGAAAAGUCUCAUGGCUGGGUACGAGACAAAAGAAAAAUUCUUGUGGCUGGGUACGAGACAAAAAGGCAAAAAGUCUCCAGAAGCUGUUUCAAAGACCAGCAAGUAUUAUUGAGUGAAAAAGGGGCUAAGAUUCAUCCCUCCCCUUCUCUUAGCCACUGAAAACUAUCAAGUGGGAUGGUGAUGGAAGUAGGGGAUGGAAGAAAAACUCUGUUUUGGGAAGAUAAUUGGGAUCAAGGUGGUCUGCUGAAAGUGAUUUUUCCAAGACUUUUUUCUAUUUCAAACCAAAAAGGAUCUGUGAUAGGGGAUUGUGGGUUUUGGGAUGGGUUAGAGUGGAUUUGAAAUUUCCAUUGGAGGAGAGAGUUGUUCCAAUGGGAGUUGGAACUUGUUCAUCAACUUCAUGAAAGGUUAAGGCCAAUGAACCUAUCAACUGGUAGAGAGGAUAAUCUUGUUUGAAGACUUGAAAAUAAAGGUAUUUUUUCUACUAACUCUUUUAUCCAGGGGUUGCAAUCGGAGACUCUUUCGAAAGAGAUUACGAGCUAUAGUUUCACAUGUGCAAUUUGGAAAGAGUUGGUCCCGUCGAGAAUUGAGCUUUUUGGUUAGUUUGUUCUAGUCGGUCGAGUGAAUACUAAAGAGAGGUUGAGUAGAUUAGGCGUUAUUCAUCAGAGUGACAAUAUGUGUGUCCUGUGUAAAAAGGAGAUGAAAUUUGUUCAUCAUUUGUUUCUUUUAUGUGAGUUUACUUGGCAGGUGUGGUGCACUUGGUUGAGACGUUCUCAUCGAGCUUAGGUUAUCCCAGGAACCAUUAAAGGUCUGUUCGAGAGUUGGACUGGCAUGCUUAAUAGAAAAGAAGAGUAGAAGAUGUGGUUGACUGGAUUCUUUGCAGUAAUUUGGAACAUCUAGUUAGAACGCAAUGACAGAAUUUUCAACAAUAGAAAAGUAGGUGUUGAAGUCAUAUAAAGAAGGACGUUUUUGAGCUACAAGGAGUGGAUUGGUAUUGAUCCUUUUGGUUGUUGAUGGCAAUGCCGCCGAAGAUUGAUCACCUUUGUGUUUGGGUUUGUAUUCUAGUGUGCCUAUUUAUUUUUUGCUUUAUUUUAUUGUAUUAAGCUUUUUCUGUUUCAAAAAAAAAAACAAAAUCAAUAAUAAUAAAUUAAAAUUUUUUAUUAUAAGUCAAUUAACNNNNNNNNNNNNNNNNNNNNNNNNNNNNNNNNNNNNNNNNNNNNNNNNNNNNNNNNNNNNNNNNNNNNNNNNNNNNNNNNNNNNNNNNNNNNNNNNNNNNNNNNNNNNNUAUAUUUAAUAAAAGAAACUUAUUUAUUUACCGAACAAUACAUAUUAUAUUAUAAUAACAAGCAACUACUUAUUUGAUAUAUGAUAAUUAAUUGAAUUGUGAUUAUACUAUUAUUCCAAUGUUACACAAAUAGUUUUAUGGCAAAGGUUUGGUGUUGUCCUUAGAUAUAUUGAUGGAAACAAUUAAAAUUAAACUUCUAUUAGUUUAAGUAAUAUUUCACGUAGAGAAAUAUUAGAAAAUUAUCAAAAUUUAUGAUUUUUUAUUAUUAUUUAAUUAUCAAUUCAAUUUUUUUAAUUUAAUUUUUUUAAUUUAAUAAUUUAAUAAUAUAUUUUAUCUCAUAUUUUUAAACAUUAAUAAUUAACGAAUAACUAAAAACAUGCAAUAAAUUCUAAAAUCCCUAACAUUCCUCUUUUAGGCAUUAAUAUAAGUGUUGUUAUUGGAUAAGGAUGAUAAGUUUUCCUACAUAUAACCAAUUAGGUACUACUUAAUUAUGAUUCGAUUUUAUUUCUAUUUCAAAGAAAAAUGCUGCAUUCAUCUACGUUUUCAAUCAAAUCUUAAACUAAUAUAUAACCCUUUAAACAGUUGGUUGAUUGGUUCCUUGAAAUUAACACAUUAAAGCAACAACAGUUGCACCUAAAAUGAAGUUGUUGGGAAAAAAAUAAAUAAAUAAAAAUAAAAAAGAUAGCAAGUAAUCCAACCAAGGGAAUAAAGCAAGAGAAGAAUAUAAUAUAUAUUGUGCAGCACUGCAGCUAGGUGAUCCUUUUUCUUCCCCUUUUUUUUUUCCUUUAUUUUAAUUUGUAUAGAAACAAUUGCCUCAUCUUGGGAUAAUGUUUGCAUUGCAUUUACAAAUUUAAUUUCCACAUACUAUGCCUAAAAUGCAUGAAAGAAUGAUGAAAUAUUGUGUCUAUUAAGCUUUUAUUUAGGGUCUGUUUAGUAGUUAUCUUAAUUAACGCAUAAAUAUAAAGAUAUGAAGAAACAAUUACAAAAGCAAUUUUGAGAUAAAAUCAAUGAGAAAUGCUAGGCCAGUAACUUUUGUGAUUUGUAGCCAUCAAAUAGCCAUCAAUGAUGGUUUUAAUAGUGUGAGAUUUCAUCCAAUAACUCAUUUUUUUUGCUGGUUACAUGUUAGUCAGAAUUUAACAAAGUUGCUGGCCUAGACUUUUCCAAAAUGAAUUGCAAUAUAUAAAAAGAUACCUAUCAUCAAAUGUAGUACGUGGAUGUGUUUCCUCGUCUAAGUGUUCAGUUGGAAGGAGAUAAUUAGCAUCAAGAAUUCAAGAUGAUGGAUCAUAUAAUAAGAAAAUAUGUGUGCACUUCUAAUUUCCUCCUAAAGAAGAAAAGCUACGUCAAUUGCGGCCUAAUGCAGAUGCUACCGUCCACAAUUUGAAACUAUUCCAAAAGUUAAUUGAGGUUCAAACAUGAUGAUCAAAGAACUAAUCAAAAUAUAUAUGCCUUGGUUCAAAGCAAAAGAAAAGAAAAAGAUGUUUUUGAACAAACAAUAUUUAGCUUAAAUCAAUUUACAAUUAAGCAAUUUAACAAAGUAUGUUACCACCACAUGACUAUGGAAUAACAAGAUGUAAAUCAACUAUUAUUCAUCAUCAUCAUAAUAAUAAUCACUCAAGAAAACAAAAAAAAAAACGGAUCAACAAACUUUAGAUGGGACAUGAUGAAUUGAAGGAGGACCAUCAUCAAAGUUGAGCCAAUAGCUAUGAAGAUCAUAGGUAAAGUUUGGAGUUUCAUUAUUGCUCCUUUUCCACCGGAGAGCUUGCUUCAAUUUACUCUUCAACUUGAAAAAAACCUCCCUCAGAAUGCUUGAAGAUGAAGGGUAACAUCGUCUUUUCACAUUAUUAUUGCCAAGUGUCACUGAAGAGCUAAUAACUUUGCUAUUGGGUUUUCUAUGAAACAUCAACAACUGAUGUGGCCUUUGAAAGCUAUAGAGCCUUGUUGGAAUUUUCAUUCUUCUUCAGUUUACUACCACUCUUCUCUUAUUAGCUUUUCUUUGUUUGUGUUUGUGUGUAAGUGAAAAUUUGUAAUUGCUAAAACAAAUGCAGCACCAUGAGGAAUAGGACUAUAUGAGAAACAUAAUUAAUGGAAGCAUGAAAUGAAAGGUGAGUUUUCAAAGCUACACCGAAUAUUUGAUGCUCACUUUAUAAUAUAUA
rnacentral:lncRNA from 1 species